AUAGUAAUGGAGCAAACAAAGGUCUUGUUGCUUUGCAUCCUUGCCAGCGUUUGGUAUUUGAAGUAUAAUCUUAACAUAGCACUAUCAAUCUGUGACAAUUGAGACACUCCAAUCAAGUGUAAAAUACAGAGACAGAGAUUUGGACAAUAGAAUUAGAAAAAAAGAUUGAAUUAACAAAUACUUCAUGUCAGUAUUUGUACAUUAUAGUGAAAACGCUUUCAAGGAUCUGUGGAAGUUAUAAAAAUAGAUCAUAUUCUCAGCCACAAAGAAAAAUUUAAUUCACUUCCCGAUGCAGAAACUGUAUGACAAUGUAAUAAAUGUUGAAAUAACAAAAGCUUAAAAAUAAUCAUAUAGAGGUUACAAAACACUUGACAAAAUACUUAUUGAUUUGGAACCAAAGAGGAAUUUUCAAAGGCUGUGGAAAAUGAUGAACAUAAGAUCCUUACUCUGCUACAAACUCAGACUGAAAUGGUUUCAUUAUUACAAAAAACAAAUUUUCCUUAUCCAAUUAGGAGGAAAAAAGGGAAAGAAUUCCCAAGGAAAACAGUAAUAAAAGAUAACCAGGUAUCCUGACUGUUCACUGUUCCCUCUCCCAGCUCUUAGAAGGCAGGGCCAUAUUCCCGUUAUCCAGUAGUGAAAAGUGCAUCUGGCUCACUGUGAGAACUCAAUAGUUAGAAGCACGAUUAUUUUCCCCAAGUUAGGCUUCCUUUCCUUUGGGCUUCCAGAACAGGCUGUUCAAAGCUCUGUUUUAGCAUUUAUUAAGGCACUACAAUUACAUGAGUUUUGCAGUAACACCUGUCUCUUAAAAACAUGCAUUUUGUUUACCAAUCUGAAUGCGCCAAGCGAUUGACAUUAAUUCAUUUAAUCAUUACAACUUUUUUUGAUAUUCCUAUUUUCCUAUUCUCCUGUUGUCUCCGAAAGGUUACGUGAUCAAGGUCAAAGAGCGAAUUCAUCACAAGGCCAGUAUGUGGUUGCACCAGUGCACUUUCAAACACAAGUUCUUUCUACGGUAACAGGUUAAUUUGAAUUCAGAAACAAGAUUAGUUUGUCAUCUUUAUAUCCUCAUCUCCAAACCGAGCUCCCAGCAUGGAAUACCUCAAACAAGUUACGCAUUACUUGCGUUCUGUUGUUUGCAAAGUUUUCUUCUGACCGCUGUAGAAGCAGGAACUAAUUACAAGCGGAGAUUGAGACGCGGAAAGAAACGCAGACGAUCUCGAGGCACUGGGUAACUCUUUCCUUGAUUCUCAUCUCUAUGGUUGACAUGAGGACCAUUCUAUACUCUGGAGGACUCAGCGAGCGUGACCAAUCAGGAGGCCAUUUUGCGGGCACGUGGAUUGAAAUAUGACUUACUAUUGGUUAGUAGUGGUGAAGCCCGCCCAACCACCCUGUCUACUCCUUUAAGUAGAAGCCGGGAAGCCACCUCAGUCUUUCCGCGACUGUGAAGCUGGGCAGCUGCCGGCCGCCCCGAGAACGUCGGAUCUCACGUUCAUCCCAGCCCUCCGGUCGACCCUCUCCUGCACCCCUUAAUAAAAAGUGGUUUGAUUCUA